rnacentral:rRNA from 1 species
UACAGAGGGGGCAAGCGUUAUUCGGAAUUAUUGGGCGUAAAGGGCGCGUAGGCGACUUCGCAAGUGACGGGUGAAAUCCCUCGGCUUAACCGAGGAACUGCCUGUCAAACUGCGUGGCUUGAGACCAGGAGAGGUGAGUGGAAUUCCCAGUGUAGCGGUGAAAUGCGUAGAUAUUGGGAGGAACACCAGUGGCGAAGGCGGCUCACUGGACUGGUACUGACGCUGAGGCGCGAAAGCGUGGGGAGCAAACAGG